rnacentral:lncRNA from 1 species
AUUUAAUUCAGCUCUUUAUUAAUGCAUUACUAAAAACAUGUUAGGUAUAUGUGUAUGGGUAUCUUACUUUUCAUGUGUUUCGAGCUCAUUUUCAACAUGAAUUUAUCAUUUUUAUAUAACACAAUAGACUUUGCUGUCACAAAAAUGAAGGAUGAGGGGGUGCCUGGGUGGCUCAGGGGCUUAAAGCUUCUGCCUUUGGCUCAGGUCAUGAUCCGAGGGUCCUUGGAUUGAGCCCCACAUCAGGCUCUCUGCUCAGUGGGGAGCCUGCUUCCCUUCCUCUCUCUCUCUGCCUACUUGUGAUCUCUGUCAGGUAAAUAAAUAAAAUCUUGAAAAAAAACAAAAAAAGGAAUGAAGGAGGAAUCUUGCAGUCCUACUUGAUAACUGAUUUCUCUUAUGCAUCUCUAAGAGAAACAUUGCCAGGAUCAGAUAAUAAACAAUCACUCAAUUAACAUGUCCAUGGUUCUGCUUCAGGAGAACUGGAACAAUGGUGGAGAUCAAGCUGGGAGUCAGAAGCCCGUGGUUCAUGAGGUGCCUCAUUCUGGAGUGGAGAGGAAACCAUUUUUUGAGGAAUGGAAAUUUUCAAUUUUAAUGAAGUACAGCUUACCAAUUCUUUCAUGGACUGUGUCUGCUGACUUUGUGGGCUGCCUGCUUUCACUCUGGUUUCCACUUGGCUUCAAGCUGCCCAUUAGAAGCACUAGCAGGAGCAUGGAGAAUGGGAAAAUUAAGGAGGUAUUUAUUCCUCAAGUUCUACCCCUUUUGAAUACCAGUAGGCCGACUGUGUUGCUUUACCAAAAACCACAGUGUUUCUAG